rnacentral:rRNA from 1 species
GACGAACGCUGGCGGCGUGCCUAAUACAUGCAAGUCGAGCGAAGUUUUUCUGGUGCUUGCACUAGAAAAACUUAGCGGCGAACGGGUGAGUAACACGUAAAGAACCUGCCUCAUAGACUGGGACAACUAUUGGAAACGAUAGCUAAUACCGGAUAACAGUAUUUCUCGCAUGGGAGAUAUUUAAAAGUUGGUUAUGCUAACACUAUGAGAUGGCUUUGCGGUGCAUUAGCUAGUUGGUGGGGUAAAGGCCUACCAAGGCGACGAUGCAUAGCCGACCUGAGAGGGUGAUCGGCCACACUGGGACUGAGACACGGCCCAGACUCCUACGGGAGGCAGCAGUAGGGAAUCUUCCGCAAUGGGCGAAAGCCUGACGGAGCAACGCCGCGUGAGUGAAGAAGGAUUUCGGUUCGUAAAGCUCUGUUGUUAGGGAAGAAUGGAUAUGUAGUAACUAUACAUAUA